UCCCUCCUUUCUUCUUUCUGCAUGUGCGCGUCCUCCCCGGCCAUCCCCGCCGCUGCUGUUGCUUGUGUGAGCUCCUGCUGCCGCCGUUGCCACCGCCGCUCGCCUGAGGUAGCUCCACUUCUGUUGCCGCCACCGCUCCCAGCUUCUUGCAUCCCGUUCGGCUGUUCUGAAUAUGGAAGACCUACAACCUUCGAAUCAUGCAACUGAUGGUGUUGUUGAUAUUGAAGCACGAUUCACAGAUUUCUGCAAGGGAGUGCAAGUGCACAUCAAAGUCCAAAGUCCAUCCGACCUUCUGAAAUGUCUCCAGCUCCAAGCAUGCUUCCACCUUGAGGUCAGACUUUUUUUUCUAAAAUAAUUUCUCUGAAAUCCAUCCAAAUUCUAGCAGAAAAUUUCUAAAAUAUUGUAGCAAAUCUAGAAUGAAUGCUAGCAGGAUUAGGAAUCUGGAACUGAUUCUGGCAGGAUCAAAAUGUAGCUAUAAAUUUUCAAUUUAUUGUGAUCAGAAUCAAUUUCUCGGCCAUAUUCUUGAUUGUCUUGGCUA